rnacentral:lncRNA from 1 species
UGAUAAUUAAUCUGUGCUUUUGGAAACCCUGACAUUCCAGUGCGCAUUGCUGGUGUGGGCAGGUAGGCAUCUGGGUGUUUCCUGCAGGCCACUGGUGCCUGCUCAUCCAGAUUCAUACUCCAUUUUAUGUAUGCAUGCACCCUCUUCUGCUGAAAGCUUAUGGAUUUAUGUCAUCUCUGAAAGAAGCUCUAAAGAAAACUUCCCCAUUUAUGAAGUCCCAAGAGCCAAUCUAGGUGCUUUCUGUUGGAGUAAAAGGUACUGAAAUCUUACAGAAGAAAGCUGAAUAAGGAUUUAGGACUACUCCAAACUGGGAUGAAUUUGCUACAGGAUGGGAAAGAACUGUUGCAAGGAAAAAAAGUCUGUCAAGCUGGUUGAUUGAACAUCACAGAAAGCUACAGAAACUGCACCCAGGACUUUUCAAAGUGGUGUGCUCACAGCUGUGCGGCUGGAAAUGCUUCCUUCACCGACUGAAAUAUUUGCUUGGCUCAGCAGCCCCAGGCACCUCAUGGUUGAGCUGCAUUUCUCACACUUCUAGUCGAGCCUCACCCACGGGGAUCAGCAGGGCACCUGAGGUUUGCACUCAUUGCCCUUCACUUCAUACUACGAAGAAGACCUUGUGGUCCACCUUUUACUUGGAGGUAAAGGACCAGCUUUCACCAUCAGCAGCUCUCCCCACACGCCUGAAAUAGAAACUCUUAUUGGUGUUGGAAACGUGAUGCCAGACAGCUUUGUACAUGUCAGGACCCCUUUGGAGUCAUCUAGGGAACAGCCAAAGCCGUAAUGGCUGAUUUUAGUGUUGUUCAAGUACUAGCUGAUUUCAGAAAGGUUACUUGCAUAAUAACAUCUUUAAAUAAAGGGACAUGCUUUAAUGCUGCCA